UACAUUUUUAAUGACCGGAAGCGUGUGCCUUCGGAGAGGACACUCACUCACGUGCAGAUAUUUAAGGGCACCCAGUCCCAGCCCCUCCACGCCCCGGUGCCCAGCGCCAGGGCACUGCUGAGGGCACCGGCGCCACCAGCCCGUGGCACCCCAGGCCUGGCCGGCGGCGAGGACGGCGAGAGGGAUUCCCACGCCAGCCCAGUUCUCCCAGCAAAGCCCUGGCAGCUCCGCACAGCCGAGCCCUGUCCCGCGCCAGGAGCCCGGAGCUGGUGGCCAGCUCCUACCCGAACUGGGGGCUCAGCCCACGCAGCCCGGGAAAGCGGCGGCAGCGCCCGCACCGCCACCGCGGGCAGGGGACGCGCAUCCGACCGGGAGCGGCACCGCGGGCAGAGGACCCGCAUCCUACCGGGACCGGCAUCCCGGACAGGGGACGCGCACCGCACCCACACCGAGACCCGAGCGCCGCACCCGCACCCGAUCCGCACCGGCAUCAGCGGACCCGCACCGGGACCCGGGCAACGGAUCCGCGCCCCACCCGCACCGGCAUCAGCGGACGCGCAUCCCACCCGCAUCGGGUCCCCAGGCCGCCGGCGCCCGACCGGGACCGGCAUCCCGGGCAGUGGAUCCGCACCGGGAUCGGGCAUCCCAUCCACGCCCGACCCGCACCGGCAUCCUGGGCAGCGGAGCCCCGCCCGGCCGGCACCGGCACCGGGAGCGCGCUCUGCCGCCCCUGCAGUCGGUGCCUCCCCAGCUCAUUCCCGGAGCCCCUCAGCCACCCCCGAGCAUCCGCCUCGCACCGGGAUCCCCCCUCCACACCUGCUGCCGGUGCCUCCUGCCCGGGUUCCUUCCCCAUCCAUUCCUGGAACCCCAAAGCCAUCCCGGAGGAUCCGCACCGGGACCGGGACCUCCCCCCGCUACACCUGCAACUGCACCCCACUUCCUCUCCAUCCACAUCCAUCCACAUCCAUCCACAUCCAUCCACAUCCAUCCACAUCCAUCGGUAUCCAUCCGUAUCCAUCCGCCCAUCCCCUGAGCCCCUCCGCCAUCCCGAGGGGCUCCGCACAGCCCCCACUCCCUCCCUUUGGGGUUAAAAAGGAUGAGGACGCCACGCACGGGAUGAGCUGGCAGCACCCAAGGCUCCAGGCGGGAUGGAUCCCCUCGGGAUGA
rnacentral:lncRNA from 13 species